rnacentral:rRNA from 1 species
AGUUUGAUUCUGGCUCAGGAUGAACGCUGGCGGCGUGCUUAACACAUGCAAGUCGAACGGACAUUUAAUGAAACCUAGUGAUUUAAAUGUUAGUGGCGGACGGGUGAGUAACGCGUGGGUAACCUGCCUUACACUGGGGGAUAACACUUAGAAAUAGGUGCUAAUACCGCAUAAGCGCACAGCUUUGCAUGAAGCAGUGUGAAAAACUCCGGUGGUGUAAGAUGGACCCGCGUCUGAUUAGCUAGUUGGUGAGGUAAUGGCUCACCAAGGCGACGAUCAGUAGCCGGCCUGAGAGGGUGAACGGCCACAUUGGGACUGAGACACGGCCCAAACUCCUACGGGAGGCAGCAGUGGGGAAUAUUGGACAAUGGGGGAAACCCUGAAUCCAGCGACGCCGCGUGAGUGAAGAAGUAUUUCGGUAUGUAAAGCUCUAUCAGCAGGGAAGAAAAUGACGGUACCUGACUAAGAAGCCCCGGCUAACUACGUGCCAGCAGCCGC